ensembl:lncRNA
GUGAGACAGUGGAGAGGACAGACAGCAGAAACAGCAGGGAGGAGAGACAGAGAAGAGAGACAGGAGAGGAGAGACAGAGAAGAGAAACAGAGGAGAAGAGAGACAGAGAAAAGAGAGAGAGGAGAGACAGCAGAGAGGAGAGACAGCAGAGAGUAAAGACAGAGGAGAAGAGACAGCAGAGGAGAGACAGAGGAGGAGACAGCAGAGAGACAGAGGAGAAGAGGAGAGACAGCAGAGAGGAGAGACAGCGGAAAGGACAGACAGCAGAGAGGAGAGACAGCAGAGAGGAGAGAGGACAGACAGCGGAGAGGACAGAUAGCAGAGAGGACAGACAGUAGAGAGGACAGACAGUAGAAAGAGUAGAGAGGAGAGACAGCAGAGAGAAGAGACAGCAGAGAGGAGAGAGGACAGACAGCGGAGAGGACAGAUAGCAGAGAGGACAGACAGUAGAGAGGACAGACAGUAGAAAGAGUAGAGAGGAGAGACAGCAGAGAGAAGAGACAGUAGAGAGGAGAGACAGCAGAAAGGAGAGACAGAGAAGAGACAGAUGAGAGGAGAGACAACAGAGAGGAGAGACAGAGAAGAGGAGAGACAGCAGAGAGGAGAGACAGGAGGAGAGAGGGAGAGACAGGAGAAAAAAGGAGAGACAGUAGAGAGGAGAGACAGGAGAAAAAAGGAGAGACAGUAGAGAGGAGAGACAGUAGAGAGGAGAGACAGCAGAAAGGAGAGACAGAGAAGAGACAGAUGAGAGGAGAGACAACAGAGAGGAGAGACAGAGAAGAGGAGAGACAGCAGAGAGGUGAGACAACAGGGACAGCGGAGAGGAGAGACAGCAGAGAGUAAAGACAGAGAAGAGACAGCAGAGAGGAGAGACAGGAGGAGACAGCAGUGAGGAGAGACAGAGGAGGAGGAGAGAAAGAGGAGAGAGAGGAGAAGAGGAGAGACCUAGAGCGGAGAGACAGAGGAGAAGAGGAGAGACAGCAGAGAGGAGAGACAGCAGAGAGGAGAGACAGAGGUUUAGAGGAGAGACAGCAGAGAGGAGAGACAGGAGAAGAGGAGAGACAGCAGAGAGGAGAGAGGGAGAGACAGGAGAAAAAAGGAGAGACAGUAGAGAGGAGAGACAGGAGAGAGGAGAGAGGACAGACAGCAGAGAGGAGAGAGGACAGACAGUGGAGAGGAGAGAGGCCAGACAGCGGAGAGGUGAGACAGUGGAGAGGACAGACAGCAGAGAGGACAGACAGCAG